rnacentral:rRNA from 1 species
AACGAGCGCAACCCUUGUCUUUAGUUGCCAUCAUUAAGUUGGGCACUCUAGAGAGACUGCCAGGGAUAACCUGGAGGAAGGUGGGGAUGACGUCAAAUCAUCAUGCCCCUUAUGCUUAGGGCUACACACGUGCUACAAUGGGUAGUACAGAGGGUUGCCAAGCCGUAAGGUGGAGCUAAUCCCUUAAAGCUACUCUCAGUUCGGAUUGUAGGCUGAAACUCGCCUACAUGAAGCUGGAGUUACUAGUAAUCGCAGAUCAGAAUGCUGCGGUGAAUGCGUUCCCGGGUCUUGUACACACCGCCCGUCACACCACGGGAGUUGGAGACGCCCGAAGCCGAUUAUCUAACCUUUUGGAAGAAGUCGUCGAAGGUGGAAUCAAUAACUGGGGUGAAGUCGUAACAAGGUAGCCGUAUCGGAAGGUGCGGCUGGAUCACCUCCUUU